rnacentral:rRNA from 1 species
AUUGAACGCUGGCGGCAUGCCUUACACAUGCAAGUCGAACGGCAGCACGGGAGCAAUCCUGGUGGCGAGUGGCGAACGGGUGAGUAAUAUAUCGGAACGUGCCCAGUCGUGGGGAUAACGUAGCGAAAGCUACGCUAAUACCGCAUACGAUCUAUGGAUGAAAGCGGGGGAUCGCAAGACCUCGCGCGAUUGGAGCGGCCGAUAUCAGAUUAGGUAGUUGGUGAGGUAAAGGCUCACCAAGCCGACGAUCUGUAGCUGGUCUGAGAGGACGACCAGCCACACUGGGACUGAGACACGGCCCAGACUCCUACGGGAGGCAGCAGUGGGGAAUAUUGGACAAUGGGCGAAAGCCUGAUCCAGCAAUGCCGCGUGAGUGAUGAAGGCCUUAGGGUUGUAAAGCUCUUUACCCGGGAUGAUAAUGACAGUACCGGGAGAAUAAGCUCCGGCUAAACUCCGUGCCAGCAGCC